rnacentral:lncRNA from 1 species
CCACAGGUAGCUCAAGUGACGUCUAUUCAUUCAUUCUCUCUCUGUUCUCUCCCUCUCAUUGCCCUUCUCCGUGUAUGUGCUUCCAUGUGUUAUCCAGAAGAACCAUACUCCUGUUAUUCAACAACAAACAAAAGUGCAGGGGCAGUUAACACUGCUGGUGCAUUGCAGAUACUUGUGACAAGCUCAAAGAAGCUCUCUGGCACACAGUAGGUACUAUCUAUAAUCUUUGCUUGCC